rnacentral:rRNA from 1 species
UACGUAGGGUGCGAGCGUUGUCCGGAAUUACUGGGCGUAAAGAGCUCGUAGGUGGUUUGUCACGUCGUCUGUGAAAUUCCGGGGCUUAACCUCGGGCGUGCAGGCGAUACGGGCAAUACUUGAGUGCUGUAGGGGAGACUGGAAUUCCUGGUGUAGCGGUGAAAUGCGCAGAUAUCAGGAGGAAUACCGAUGGCGAAGGCAGGUCUCUGGGCAGUUACUGACGCUGAGGAGCGAAAGCAUGGGUAGCGAACAGGAUUAGA